rnacentral:lncRNA from 1 species
CUUCUCCUUGAUCAAUGGCCUGGUCUGAGAGGUACAGGGAUGGUACAGACUGGAGAGCACUGGAACUGCACCACUGGGAGUAUUCUAAGAUUACCUCAACUACUGAUCACCUCGCUAAGUGGUUGCUUCACCCAACUGUGGCCAGAAUGGGAAGUGUUGUGACUGAAGUCAAUUAUCUUGAAGUCCUUGGGAAGGGAGAGGUACAAAGGCUACACCUCAGUGAGCUGUCAGUGGUCUCAGGAUCAGAUGCCAACUGCAGUGCAUUGGUGAGGUUGUACCUUGGAGCUGAAUUCUUCAGAGCCUGGCACCUGGACAGAUGCAGGAGCAUUUCUCCUGGGAACAAAAUGAAGUUGCUGGGAAACAGCUGACAUAUAAACCCACAAGGAAGAACAGAACACAAGAGGGUAAAGCACUGAUGCCUACAGCAAAUAAUUCACUCAAUAGGUGUGAGUUGUCCUCACCGCUUCCACCUGUUAAGAAAUGUCUGCAAAUGAUGUCGUGGGAAGGGCAGAAACACCUGGAAUUUACCACAGUAACAUCCUCAGAAACUCACCUUCUCCAUCUGAAAGAAUAAGAGCUCACAACAGGUAUUUUACAUUUCCAAUGUCCCUGUAUACCAGUACACAGCUGUUUAGUGAUUUGGAUGAUGGGUGGUGACGUGGCUUGUGAAUGAGGUAAAUGCAAUCAUUCAUGUGUAUCAGCAGGUCUCCAAAAUUCAGCACGAAAUAUUGCUUAGAGAAAUACUGCUUUAUUUAAGUUAUGAUUCCUAACUCAAAAAACAUUCCCUAUUAACACAUUCAGUGAAAGCAUCAGUUCUGUGUGAUGUGGAGAAAACAAAACACUCGACUUCAGAGACUUCAUCUUCAAAGGCUUUUUUAAAGUUUAUGCUGUCCUUCCAUUCCUCACACUCCCAUGACUGGUUUAGUUGCAUACAGGUUAGCUGCAGUCAGAGGAGGCAGUUUAGCCACCCUGAACAACACUGAAUUGCAGCUAUCAGGAUUGGGUGUGAGGGCACUGGGGGAGCAGUGUGUGCCUGCAGAGUCCCAGCUCCUGUCCCUGCAGCACCCCAGCACUGUGUGGGGCUGUGCACCAAGUGGUGGCAGGGAACUGUCUCACCAGCAAGUUUUGUCC